AUUGAACGCUGGCGGCAGGCCUAACACAUGCAAGUCGAGCGGAUGAAGGGAGCUUGCUCCUGGAUUCAGCGGCGGACGGGUGAGUAAUGCCUAGGAAUCUGCCUGGUAGUGGGGGAUAACGUCCGGAAACAGGCGCUAAUACCGCAUACGUCCUGCGGGAGAAAGUGGGGGAUCUUCGGACCUCACGCUAUCAGAUGAGCCUAGGUCGGGUUAGCUAGUUGGUGGGGUAAAGGCCUACCAAGGCGACGAUCCGUAACUGGUCUGAGAGGAUGAUCAGUCACACUGGAGCUGAGACACGGUCCAGACUCCUACAUGAGGCAGCAGUGGGUAAUGUUGGACGAUGGGCGAAAGCCUGAUCCAGCCAUGCCACGUGUGUGAAGAAGGUCUUCGGAUUGUAAAGCGCUUUAAGUUGGGAGGAAGGGCAGUAAGUUAAUACCUGGCUGUUUGGACGUUACCAACAGAAUAAGCACCGGCUAACUUCGU
rnacentral:rRNA from 1 species